CAAACUUCUAAAGUCAACAUUCCUUUAAUUGUGAGCAAGAAUAAAUGGGCUUCUAUUAUACACACAUAAAAAAUUCCCAUUGUUUCUAAUAUCUCUCAUUAGAUAUUAGGCAACAUGGGGAAUCAAAUAAGUACCUUUAAUUUUCAUCUCAGAUGUGAGAAAACUGGAACUUAGAAAAGCAAAGUAAAUGCUCAUGGUCACACUACUGUUAAGAUAAAUCUGGGAUUUAAAUGUAGGUCUCUCUGAUUAUAAAACUCAUGUUCUUUCUCUUGCAGGAUGCUGCCAGUGACCCCAGAGCCUUUUGUUUUCCUCCAAUAUUCUCAGUGCUUUAAAUAUUUAAUGAUCCUUCAACGUCUCUCUGAAUGCACUCCAAAUUAUGGAAGUCCUGGUUGAGAGUGGGGCCUGGAGCAGUUUAGAACCCUCUAAUCAAAGGCAGGUCCAUCUCUGGAGGAAGUUCCUACCUGGGGCAGAGAACAACUUAUAGCACAGUGCUCCAAAAUUUUCAGAGAACUGUGGGUAAGAUGAAUAUCAAGGUCAGGCUUAAAGUGGAGCAACAAGGGAACGGAUAUCCCAGUUAGCAAUCUGUGGCCCAGGGAGUGAGAGAACUUUAGCCUCAGCCAUUGCAUUUGUAACUGUUUGAGGAUGCAGGAGGGAGGGUCCAGGCUGGGCCUAGAGGACACUGAGACAUAUCUGGGCUUAUCUAAUGAGGUUGAGAAGUUGGUGGGCCACCAGGCUUGCUUAACGGGAGGGUAGAGAUUUUCACAUUGGAGUUUUCAUGUGGUGAUGUGUUUCCUUAGCCUCCCUGUUUUCUAGGAUACAUGGACUAAGGCAUUGGAGUGAGAUAGGAAAAGCUGGAAGGUCUCUAUGAGAUCAUGAGAGGCAGGGGUAAAGGGAUCUGCAGUAACUCAGUGUGACACAGUGUGGAACAGAAUGAUCUCUUUGCCUCUGUGGGGAGGACAGCGUGCCCUAGCACUGUGGCUGGUAGUGUUGGUGUGUCAAGGUCUGUUUCAGGUGGCACUGAAGGCUCUAUGAGCAUUGGCGGCAGAGUGGUGUGUUGGUGAAGAAGGAAAGCCCUAGAGCUCACAGCCAUCGAAGAGACACACCUAAGACAGCUCCUCACACUCCCAGAAAUGUCCUGGGGGAACUUUACAGGGGCUUCACUGGGAUGUGUGUGGGGAGGGCAAAUUUCGGUUAUUAUUUUAAUUGUUAGCCUAACCAUGUCUGCAUCAUGAUACCAUAAGCCAGGGAAACAGUUGGGUCAGAAUUAAUGGAAAUUGUUACUUUUCUCACGCGGUGAUGUUUUAAGUGCCUGCUGAACUCCAUUUCGGGCCCAUAGACUCAGGCCACGCAGGAGUGCCUCAUUUCUGACCUUAUAGAUGACUCAAGUAGGACCCUGAGAGACUGCUGAAAGCUUUCCUUCAUUUUAACUAAUUCAGCACAUAUUCUGUGGUUGCUUUCAGAGAGUAAGGCCUUGUACCAGGAACUUCCACUGUAGCCAAAUAGAAUCUGCAAGCGUGCCAUAAGAGAAAGCCUGGUGCAAGGGACAGAAGAUAGUUCCAGAAUCAAAAGACCUCUGUUUGUAUUUCAGGACAUGUUAUUUUGGGCAAAGAAUCUGAUGUCUCUGGGCUCUAGUACUCUCAACUGUGAAAUGAGAAAAUAUUUUAUGAAUGCAAAAUUGGGACAUAGAGUCUGACCAAGGUUUCCUAUGGGAGUUUCAGACAUGGUAAUUAGAAACCAGGAAGACUGAGAAGGAAUCAAAUUUGCAGCAGCUCAGUAAGUGGUAGACUGGGAACAAGAAGCCAGUUCUCUGGGCUCUUGAAGCAAGGCCCUGCCACGUUGUCUUUCCCCAGGAGAGGAGGAAACUGGGGAGGGAAUCAUGUUCCAGCAGUGAAGAACAAAGGCAGUUUUUUGGGGAUUUACAUACGCCAUCUCCUACAAAGUUAAAAAAUUUUCUUUUCCUGAAAGACUACAAUCAAGAUACAAACAUGUACAAUGGGUGAAGUGGAUUAACAAGUUUGUGUCAUGUUAAUUAUAUAUUUCAAUAAAGAUAAUUUUGGAACUAGUUUUAUGGAUGUAAAUAUAAAUUACAAGUUAACUAAAUUAUAUUGAGGAUGCAAAUAACUUUGGAAAUAAUUAUAGGUGUAAUCAGCCAUUUGAAAAUAAAAUGAAUACAAUUAAAC
rnacentral:lncRNA from 1 species